rnacentral:lncRNA from 1 species
CAAAUCCCUUACAGCUACUCUCUCUCCUGUUCACCAGUCACCUCCAUCAUUCAAUUGAAAACUCACUCAGUCAACUAAUUAACUCGCUCAAUUGAAAAACUCACGCGAGUUUAGAAUCGAAUCCAUCAUUCAGUGAAUCGACUCCUCUUCUUCUCGAUCGACUCCUUUUCUUUCCCUUGAUCACAAACAACCGUCAUUGUUCUCCUCCACUAACGCUUGAGCACAAACAACCGUCAUUGUUCCAACCUCAACCUCCAUUUCAGCAGAGCUCCCCGUUCCUUCAACUCCAACAACAACAAUUACAGCAAUUACAGCAACAACAAUUUCAAC